CUUUUAUGGCCCCUGCUCACAGACUAGGUGAGAGAGGCUCUCCGUCGCUGCCACAGAUGUGUGAUUAUGGAUCAAAACUUUCAACUGAUCACCCUGUUUGACAAGUGGGAACUGGGAGGGAAGAGGGAUUAUGCUAAGCCCCAACUCGGGGAGACCAGUCUUAUCUUGCCUGUAGCAGCUCCAUGCACUAGAGAAAAAACAGGCUGGAAGAGAGCAAAGCUACAGGCCAGGAGGUGGGAGGGGGGAGAAAAAGAUGAGGAUGGCCACUACUACAAAACAAGAUCAAGCUCUACAAUAUUGUCAGAAGAACCAUUUGGCCUUCAACCACAUUCUCAAGAAUCCCUUCUACCCAAGAAAUCAUUCAUCCAUCCAUGGUGAAAAUCUCCAGCAGUACAGGGCGAGAAGUAGCGACUGCCCUGUGAUGGACUGGAGAGGUUACCAGUCCAGGGCAACAUCUAUCUACACAAGACAACUCAUGGAUAAAUGGGACCAGUUAACCUGUCAUGGAUAUUUUUAAAC